AAUACCACGCCCCUUCACUUCCCCUCCCGCCACUUCCUUAAGCGCCCCCUGACCCUCCAGGCCGGGCGUCAGUCACUUCCAAAUUCAAGAUCUGGAUGCAGACAGAGGGAGAAGAAAUUGGAAGAUGAAGAGCCCCCCUCCCCUCCACCGGGUGGAGGGGGGACAGGUUAAGACAACCCUGGUGUAGGCAUUCGUUCCAAGAAACAGGCUCAGCUCCUCUAAGCCGUCUCCCAGACCACAGAAGGUGUGAAGGGAAGACUGGCAGAGACCACCAGGUCAGUAUCCUGCGGACCUCCUCUCAGUUUCUGUCAUUUCCUCGGUGCCAAGAGGGGAAGUCUUCACCUCAAUAACUGUGAUUUCCGCAUUUUCCUUCUCCAGACCACCAACUCAACAAAUAACCCUCAAGCAAAAGAUAAAUACAAUCACCUACAUUUUCUACGUGGCUGGAGACUUUCAGUAGCAGGGGCGAGGGAAGCCCGGCAGGCCCGGUUUGGAACUUAGGAAAACUCAGCGGACCUGCCGAUAACUUUGGCCUAAUUUGAGGGAAGGUAUCUCUCUUCCCCUGGAGCCCCAGUCUAUGCCCUGCUGGUGACUUGUGUGCACGAGGACCAGGUUGGGUUAUCCAUCGCUCCUUGAGCUCCUUUGAAAACGAUUUCUGCCAGAGGCCACUUCACUUUCAACCCCGGUGCGGCCUUCGGGUCCCUCUGAUGAUAUGACUCCCUGGAGAACCCAGGAGGGGUUAGGGUUGUCUCCCAGAGAGAUAGGUGACUAGCCUUAGGGUAGGGCUGUGGGAUCCGCGUGAUGAAAGGGCAAGAGGAGCGCACUUAGCAGGACUAGCUUCCUGGAGGAGUUGACUGUACGUUCUAAAGGACCAGGCGGAUCAGAGCUGGGCGUGGGCAGCAGCCUGCCGGGCCAGGAAAGGCCAGAGCUGGGGAUGCGAGCGGGUCAGACCCUAGGUCGGGAGAGGGAGGCUCCCGCCGGGCGGGAAAGCUAGUCUGCGCGGAGCUAAACCCAACUCUGGCCGCCAUGACGUCACGCGGGCCGGGCAGCCAAUGAG
rnacentral:lncRNA from 1 species